rnacentral:misc_RNA from 1 species
GAUGAAGAACGUAGCAAAAUGCGAUAAGUAAUGUGAAUUGCAGAAUUCAGUGAAUCAUCGAAUCUUUGAACGCACAUUGCGCCCGCCAGUAUUCUGGCGGGCAUGCCUGUUCGAGCGUCAUUUCAACCCUCAAGCACAGCUUGGUGUUGGGACUCGCGUUAAUUCGCGUUCCCCAAAUUGAUUGGCGGUCACGUCGUGCUUCCAUAGCGUAGUAGUAAAACCCUCGUUACUGGUAAUCGUCGCGGCCACGCCGUUAAACCCCAACUUCUGAAUGUUGACCUCGGAUCAGGUAGGAAUACCCGCUGAACUUAAGCAUAUCAAUAAGCGGAGGA